rnacentral:rRNA from 1 species
AUUCCGGUUGAUCCUGCCGGAGGACAUUGCUAUUGGGAUUCGAUUUAGCCAUGCUAGUCGAGCGAGUUCAGACUCGCGGCGAAUAGCUCAGUAACACGUGGCCAAGCUCCCCUUCAGUCAGCGAUACCCUCGGGAAACUGAGGUUAACAGCUGAUACAAAACGCCAGCUGGAAUGCGGCGUUUCAGAAAGACAUCGCUGAGGGAUGCGGCUGCGGCCGAUUAGGUAGACGGUGGGGUAACGGCCCACCGUGCCAGUAAUCGGUACGGGUGAUGAGAGUCAGAGCCCGGAGACGGAAUCUGAGACAAGAUUCCGGGCCCUACGGGGCGCAGCAGGCGCGAAACCUUUACACUGCACGGAAGUGCGAUAGGGGAAUCCCAAGUGCGAGGGCAUAUUAGCCCUCGCUUUUCUCGACUGUAAGGUGGUCGACGAAUAAGAGCUGGGCAAGACCGGUGCCAGCCGCCGCGGUAAUACCGGCAGCUCAAGUGAUGUCCCAUAUUAUUGGGCCUAAACCGUCUGUAGCU